CUUCCCCUCCAGCUCUGCUUUUAUGCCGUCGGCAACAAUCCUCAGGCGGGCCGUCCACACCCAGCAGCACGCCGGCUCGGCUCAGCCGGGUGUGACGAGCUGAUCAUUAGUUACUCCACCGCGAGCCUGCGAGCUCACGCUCUAGAGCAGCAAGUCCGGCCUGAGCUGCGAGUGCUGAGCUCCAAGCGCACAUCCCAUCUCGGGGGCCGAGGGCGGGCAGUGGGCGCCAGGCACUGUGACAGCGGCCAGGUCCAUCCCGGUCCUCCAGCAGGGCAGGUCUUGCAGUCGGCGGUGGUCUACUGUCCAAGGGUGAGCGGGCUGCGGGUCUCAGAACCGCACGCAGAGAGCGUAGGGGGACCGACACUGCCCGCACCACUGCCCCGGGCAGCCCGAGCCUCCAAAAAGGGCGGGACAGACUCGGCCCACAGGCCGUGUGCAGCUGCGGACAGGGCCUUGAAGGGGUGAGACGCUGUCGCCGCCAGGGUCGCUGUGGGCGCUGGGAAGAGGAGGCGCAGGCGCACAGGGGCCCGCGGCCGGCGUCCUUCCGUCCCCAUGGCGACCGCUGGAGCGGUUGUCGCGUGCGCGUGAGGAAAGGUUAAAAAGCGCUUUCUCUCUC